AGUGAACGCUGGCGGUAGGCCUAACACAUGCAAGUCGAACGGUAGCACAGAGGAGCUUGCUCCUCGGGUGACGAGUGGCGGACGGGUGAGUAAUGUCUGGGGAUCUGCCCGAUAGAGGGGGAUAACCACUGGAAACGGUGGCUAAUACCGCAUAACGUCGCAAGACCAAAGAGGGGGACCUUCGGGCCUCUCACUAUCGGAUGGACCCAGAUGGGAUUAGCUAGUAGGCGGGGUAACGGCCCACCUAGGCGACGAUCCCUAGCUGGUCUGAGAGGAUGACCAGCCACACUGGAACUGAGACACGGUCCAGACUCCUACGGGAGGCAGCAGUGGGGAAUAUUGCACAAUGGGCGCAAGCCUGAUGCAGCCAUGCCGCGUGUAUGAAGAAGGCCUUCGGGUUGUAAAGUACUUUCAGCGGGGAGGAAGGCGAUGUGGUUAAUAACCGCAUUGAUUGACGUUACCCGCAGAAGAAGCACCGGCUAACUCCGUGCCAGCCGCCGCCGUAA
rnacentral:rRNA from 1 species